UCCGGUUUGUCACCGGCAGUCUCUCUAGAGUGCCCAACUGAAUGCUGGCAACUAAAGACAAGGGUUGCGCUCGUUGCGGGACUUAACCCAACAUGUCACCACACGAGCUGACGACAGCCAUGCAGCACCUGUCACCUUGCUGGAUUGCUCCAGAAACCGUAUCUCUACGGCUGUCAAGGGAUGUCAAGCCCAGGUAAGGUUCUGCGCGUUGCUUCGAAUUAAACCACAUGAUCCACCGCUUGUGCGGGCCCCCGUCAAUUCCUUUGAGUUUUAGUCUUGCGACCGUACUCCCCAGGCGGAGCACUUAAUGCGUUAGCUGCGACUCAGCAAGGGUCAAAUCUCGCUAAAUCUAGUGCUCAUCGUUUACGGCGUGGACUAC
rnacentral:misc_RNA from 1 species